rnacentral:lncRNA from 1 species
GGUCACUGUGACAUCCACUGACCGCGGAGGCGGCUUCCGCUUGGAGCCGUUGGGGUCCAGUUCUGAGGUGCCGGCUUCAGGAGUUCCCCAGAAAUGCUGUCAGCAAUCAAGUUGAGGAAUUUGGAUGAGAUGACUGAAUCAAAGAAGGCCAACUAUUUCAGAAAAAAGAAAAAAUUGAUAUAUCUAAAGCUACCUCCAAAAAGAAGGAAGGAAGAAUUUGUCUCAAACAACCAUCUGAUUUCUUCCAGGUGGGUAAGGGCUUUCCAUAAUUAGGAACAGAGGGGAGGGAAGGCCCAG